UGGAACAAAUGGAUGUGCAUAUGGGCACGGCAUCAGACAUGCUGAGUGCCUCAAUGAAGAAGCAUCAACUGAGCUUCCAAGAAGAGGAAACUAAAUUUCCCAGAGGCCAAAACUAGCCAGAAACUCAAGGCGAAAGACCUGUGGUCCACACUGAUGACUCCAGCAAAACAACCUCUUGCCUGGAACUAAAGAAAUGGAAUUCAGAUUCUACCCUCCUGAAAUGUCUCUCUGGGAGUGUCACAAGGUGGCUGGUCUCCCCCCAGAAUAAAACGAAAAGGCAUAUAUUCACUGAAAAUCAUUACUGCUCAACAGAAAUCUUGUUGGGAAAAUGCUGGUAAAUGGA